GGCAAUUAAAUUUACAAUCUGAAAGUCAUAAUAAUAAUAAAAAAGAAAAUCAGCUCAUCAUUCUUAUGACAAUAACAUGGCUAUCCCAGUUACACAUGUACUAUGGUUUUACCAUAUUCCUGCAUAUUCAAGCAGUAAAGUUAUACCUUUUGUACUCAAUUACAGAAAAUGGUAAUACUGUAGAACCUUGGAACUCGAACACCUCUUAACUCGACCAACUUCAACAUUAAAUGGGCUUGUUGAAUUUUUUUCGACUUGUACCUUUACGAAAUUCUUGGAACUAUACAGUUCCUGGUAAAACUUGUAUGGGUGGAGACGUGUUCAACUUUACCAAUUCAGACCUCAAAUGGGUCGGUCGAGAAACAUCUAACUGCGACUAGACAGAAAACUCGGAACACGAAAUAAAACAGACCUGCUAAAACUUGUACGGAUCAAGACACAUCUCUCCUUCCAAACAAUAACCCCUCCAUUCUUCCUCCUUUCCACCUACCACUUCCAGUAUGCCAUCAGCUCACCUCAAUGAAGAUGGGCCGGCCGCUCCACGAUGGGAUGCGCUUCCCCGCCUCCUGCUGGGACCGCUGUUACGGGAGACGGAAGGCGUGACAACCAACUCACCCUCACACUUGAGGCCCUGCCGGACAAGACCCCACAGCAUCUCACCGCAGUCGUCGCAGAAGGCGGGCGCCUUAUAGGAGUGGACGUACAGCGCAUGGGGGCGGAUCUUGAAAUCUUCGACAGUAGCUAGAGCUAAAACAGUUAAUCUGCAGAUGUGGAACCUGUGGAUACGGAGGGCCGAGUGCAUGUCUGGAGGAGUGAAGAAAGAGGCCAUCACUCUACAGUGACACCCACAGAUGUGCAUUAUUCACACGCUCAGCUGGCAGCCUGGUCCCGAGCCCAUGGUGUCCAUUACCUGCACACACCGCGUUCCGCUGACAGACACAGACGCAGCAGUAUGCUGUCUAAGCUUUAAGGUCUGAACACUACACCUCAAGGUGUCAGUAUCUCCAUCUAUCUGGGCAGACGAGUGCCUAACCCGUUUAAAAUGAGGACUGGCGGAAACCAGAGCCGUGCCACAGCUGGGAGCAGGUCAUGCUGGGUAACUGAAGCAAACCGCUUACCCCCUGCGCACCAGAAGUGACAAGCGGCCGGCAUAUCACUGCAAUCACUGAACACCGCCUUCCAGAAACCACGGGAAAUAUAAUGUUUCUUAAACUCCCCUAAGCACAACGUGGAGGCCUUUGUGAGGCUCAUAAUAGAGAACAGAUAUGGCUCUCAGUCAGUGAUGGAUAUUUAGACAGGGGAUGCUGAGAGGAAUAUGUGGCGCCAAACUGCAAAGUCAGGGUGCAAUGAGGUCAUCUAUCCAUCCAUCCAUCCAACAGAAAAUUACAGUGGGGGAUGGCUGGAGCCUACCCUAGGCAGCACAGGGUACUCUGAGCACAAAGACACAGAUACACACACACACACACACACACACACACACACAUUGUUCAUACAUUUCUAUGGGCAUAACCCUAAUCCAUCCAUUUUCUAUAACUGCCUGCCUGUCACAGAGGGUCCAGAGCCAAUACCGGAGGCUACAGGUGCAAGAGAGGGAAUAACCCUGGUUUGGAUGCCAAGCCAUCGCAGGACGCAAACCCUAAUCCUAACUAUGAUAACCCCAACCCUCACCAAACCGUAACCUUUACCAUAAGUAACCAAACAAAAUACAAGACUUUUUUAGUUUUUUUAUUGCUUGCAUAGAUUUUUAUAAAAUAAGUUUCCCUUUCU